AUUUCUUCCAGAACCAAUUAAUCUCGUAAGUAGAGGUACCACUUUAAUGCCAAAUUAAGCCGAAUUUGAGCAUUUUCCACCCUCUGAUCAAAGUCCGCCAAGCCCUGAUUCUCGGAUUCUCCUAAACGAUAAUCCUGUGGUGUGGGGUUAAAAGUGAUACAGUGCACUCAUCUGUUACUGCACAUGGCACCAAAUGAACGACAUACGUCACACAUGCCCGCUUUUAUGAGUUAUCUCCGUAAGGCACAGGAUAAUAAAAUAAUAAAUGCAAAAAAAAAAAAAAAAAAAAAAUGUGUGAAAGGGACUUUCGAACCAUUUGAGGACACACGGCUUGAAAUGACAACAAUAAACACAGCGAACAUUGGACUCUUGCUGAGACUAUCAGUUGCCCUGAAUCUCAACUUUUGCAUACUUGACCUUCCUUCUCCUCUAUCCCCGUUUGUUUGUAUUCUGCUCUACAAUUUUGAAAUACAGGGAAAAAACAAAACAAAAACAGCGCCAGGCCGAGCAGUACCAAGCCAAGUUUGAUGGAAAAGCCUCAUCAGUGUGAACAUGGGAAUCUACUACCGAACAACCACUUCAUCAAAACACAUGAAGGAUGGACUAAAGGGAGGUAUCUUGACCUGCAGAACAGGUAUGGAAACACACGAAGAAUGCACAGGAGACACCUUUGUCAAACAGGCAUCCACACGGGUAAGAACACGUCUACGCCGCGUGUCUGACAUUCCUUCCCGCGCUGGCGCUCCUCCCAUCACGAUAGCAGUACACACGCUUCUCCUCGAAUCUCCUUGACGCCCGCUCUUUCUAAUUGAAACCGAUGCAAGAGCUCGAUGCAAAAACGCAGCCUUUCACAAAGACCACAGCGCUCGGUUUUUGAUUGGCGCUUGUCAGAGAGGUAUUCAUUGACGUCAUCGAUAUCGAUAUUUACUAUUGCGGUUGCAGUUUAGUCCAUUAUCCUAUUUAGCCACACCUAUAAUGCAACUACGUCUCUGAGCUUGAAACUGCUUUAAAAAAAAAGCCAACGCAGCUUUAAAUAAAUUCGAUUUGACAGAAUGAGCUGCCCAAAAGCAAUGACAAGACGUGUAUAUAAGCGGACCUUAAGAUACAGUAAAUUCUGUCAAUUACGACCUUUACUCCCUGACAAUCACUUGCGACAGACAAACCUGUCGAUUGUCUGUCACAACUGAGGCUUGAUCUACUGCUCGGUCAUUGGACCAACGUAGAAGGAGAUCAAUAUUUACAUCACAAGCUGCCGGGGUUAAUUGCUAGUGAUCUGCUGGUGGGCAGGAAACUCAACCAUCAUGCACAUGCCACACAACACGAGGUGAACCUGCACCAAUGACUUUACAGUCACACAAUGAAUUUUGUCAAACGUAUCAACAAUGUUUUUCUUCUCUCGUAAAUGAUGUAUUGAUGAGCAGGAAAUGUUCAUUUCAGAUAUCUGUGACUGAAUUGUGAUUAGUGGAAAGGACAGAAAAAUCCGGUAUUCACUUUUACCUAUCCGCGGUCCGACAUUAAUGGUGGCUCAAUGGCCCUGGGCCGGUAUGGCAUGGCAGGCACCACAUACCUUACAGAUGCUGGCCCGACUGGGCCAGUGGUGAUUUCAUAAAUAAUAUGAUGAUAUGCACCAAAGGAAGAUAUGCGAAUCGUGUCAUAUUGUCUGUUGCAUUAUUUUUGGUCAAACAUCCGUUAACUUAAUGGAUUGUACCACUCCAACAUAGAUGCUAUCUAGUGCUAGCAUUCGCCCAUCAAUUGAGUUUCCCCACAUUUUCUAGCAUUAGCAUUUAUAUGGUGGACCUAAAAAAAAAAAAAGGGAAGAGUUUAAUUCUUUGUUUUACUUUGUACAAGUUUAACUGUAAACUUCAACCGAGGUUGUCAAUAAACUUCUUGAGAAAAAAAAAAAAGAUUUCCAGGUUUUUCUGGGUAAAAUGAUGUAAGUUAUUUUAUUAAUCAUCACUUUGCUGGAAAAGGGGAUUUGAUUGUCUGUGCCCUUCCAUAAAUGUAUACACAUUAUGUGGCAAUGUUACGGCAACACAUGAGAAAUUUGGGUUUGUGUUUUGAGCCCGUGUGCUGAUCGGUGCCCUCGUCCGACACGCCUGGAAGAAAUGGGACAAGGCCCAGCAACAGACUGGAGCGCAACAUCGCCGUGCCAUACAUUAACUUCUCUCUCGCACCAAAUCUUCAUAUUUACCACCACCUUGCCCAACAAAAAUUAACACCACCGCUCGAAAUAAUACACAAUCAAGAAGAAAACUCCACAGUAAAAGUACAAC